GACGAACGCUGGCGGCGUGCCUAAUACAUGCAAGUAGAACGCUGAAGAGAGGAGCUUGCUCUUCUUGGAUGAGUUGCGAACGGGUGAGUAACGCGUAGGUAACCUGCCUGGUAGCGGGGGAUAACUAUUGGAAACGAUAGCUAGUACCGCAUAAAAUUGAUUAUUGCAUGAUAAUUAAUUGAAAGAUGCAAUUGCAUCACUACCAGAUGGACCUGCGUUGUAUUAGCUAGUUGGUGAGGUAACGGCUCACCAAGGCGACGAUACAUAGCCGACCUGAGAGGGUGAUCGGCCACACUGGGACUGAGACACGGCCCAGACUCCUACGGGAGGCAGCAGUAGGGAAUCUUCGGCAAUGGGGGGAACCCUGACCGAGCAACGCCGCGUGAGUGAAGAAGGUUUUCGGAUCGUAAAGCUCUGUUGUAAGAGAAGAACGGGUGUGAGAGUGGAAAGUUCACACUGUGACGGUAUCUUACCAGAAAGGGACGGCUAACUACGUGCCAGCAGCCGCGGUAAUACGUAGGUCCCGAGCGUUGUCCGGAUUUAUUGGGCGUAAAGCGAGCGCAGGCGGUUAGAUAAGUCUGAAGUUAUAAGGCUGUGGCUUAACCAUAGUAUGCUUUGGAAACUGUUUAACUUGAGUGCAGAAGGGGAGAGUGGAAUUCCAUGUGUAGCGGUGAAAUGCGUAGAUAUAUGGAGGAACACCGGUGGCGAAAGCGGCUCUCUGGUCUGUAACUGACGCUGAGGCUCGAAAGCGCGGGGAGCAAACAGGAUUAGAUACCCUGGUAGUCCACGCCGUAAACGAUGAGUGCUAGGUGUUAGGCCCUUUCCGGGGCUUAGUGCCGCAGCUAACGCAUUAAGCACUCCGCCUGGGGAGUACGACCGCAAGGUUGAAACUCAAAGGAAUUGACGGGGGCCCGCACAAGCGGUGGAGCAUGUGGUUUAAUUCGAAGCAACGCGAAGAACCUUACCAGGUCUUGACAUCCCUCUGAUCGCUCUAGAGAUAGAGUUUUCCUUCGGGACAGAGGUGACAGGUGGUGCAUGGUUGUCGUCAGCUCGUGUCGUGAGAUGUUGGGUUAAGUCCCGCAACGAGCGCAACCCCUAUUGUUAGUUGCCAUCAUUCAGUUGGGCACUCUAGCGAGACUGCCGGUAAUAAACCGGAGGAAGGUGGGGAUGACGUCAAAUCAUCAUGCCCCUUAUGACCUGGGCUACACACGUGCUACAAUGGCUGGUACAACGAGUCGCAAGCCGGUGACGGCAAGCUAAUCUCUGAAAGCCAGUCUCAGUUCGGAUUGUAGGCUGCAACUCGCCUACAUGAAGUCGGAAUCGCUAGUAAUCGCGGAUCAGCACGCCGCGGUGAAUACGUUCCCGGGCCU
rnacentral:rRNA from 1 species